rnacentral:rRNA from 1 species
GACGAACGCUGGCGGCGUGCUUAACACAUGCAAGUCGAACGGAAAGACCCCUAUGGGGGUACUCUAGUGGCGAACGGGUGAGUAACACGUGAGUAACCUGCCCUUGACUUCGGGAUAACGUCAGGAAACUGGGGCUAAUACCGGUUAGGAAUCCUUGCUGCAUGGGGGGGGUUGGAAAGCUUCGGCGGUUUUGGAUGUACUCGCGGCUUAUCAGCUUGUUGGUGUGGUAGUGGCUUACCAAGGCUUUGACGGGUAGCCGGCCUGAGAGGGCGACCGGCGACCUUGGGACUGAGAUAAGGCCCAGAUUCCUACGGGAGGAAGCAGUGGGGAAUAUUGAACAAGGGGCGGAAGCUGGAUGAAGCAGCGCUGCGUGCGGGAUGACGGUCUUAGGGUUGUAAACCGCUUUCAGCAGGGGCGAAGCUUGUGGUGACGGUACCUGAAGAAGAAGCACCGGCUAACUACGUG